rnacentral:misc_RNA from 1 species
GAUGAAGAACGUAGCGAAAUGCGAUAAGUAAUGUGAAUUGCAGAAUUCAGUGAAUCAUGGAAUCUUUGAACGCACAUUGCGCCCGCCAGUAUUCUGGCGGGCAUGCCUGUCCGAGCGUCAUUUCAACCCUCGAACCCCUCCGGGGGGUCGGCGUUGGGGACCUCGGGAGCCCCUAAGACGGGAUCCCGGCCCCGAAAUACAGUGGCGGUCUCGCCGCAGCCUCUCCUGCGCAGUAGUUUGCACAACUCGCACCGGGAGCGCGGCGCGUCCACGUCCGUAAAACACCCAACUUCUGAAAUGUUGACCUCGGAUCAGGUAGGAAUACUCGCUGAACUUAAGCAUAUCAAUAAGCGGAGGA